CCUACGGGAGGCAGCAGUGGGGAAUAUUGCACAAUGGGGGAAACCCUGAUGCAGCGACGCCGCGUGAGUGAAGAAGUAUUUCGGUAUGUAAAGCUCUAUCAGCAGGGAAGAAAAUGACGGUACCUGAUUAAGAAGCCCCGGCUAACUACGUGCCAGCAGCCGCGGUAAUACGUAGGGGGCAAGCUGUAUCCGGAUUUACUGGGUGGAAAGGGAGCGGAGACGGCAGCACAAGUCUGGAGUGAAAUGCCGGGGCUUAACCCCGGACCUGCUUUGGAAACUGUGCAGCUAGAGUGCAGGAGAGGUAAGUGGAAUUCCUAGUGUAGCGGUGAAAUGCGUAGAUAUUAGGAGGAACACCAGUGGCGAAGGCGGCUUACUGGACUGUAACUGACGUUGAGGCUCGAAAGCGUGGGGAGCAAACAGGAUUAGAUACCCUGGUAGUC
rnacentral:rRNA from 1 species